UAAGCAUAUCAAUAAGCGGAGGAAAAGAAACCAACAGGGAUUGCCCCAGUAACGGCGAGUGAAGCGGCAAGAGCUCAAAUUUGAAAUCUGGCCUCCUCCGGGGGUCCGAGUUGUAAUUUGCAGAGGAUGCUUCGGGUGCGGCCCCCGUCUAAGUUCCUUGGAACAGGACGUCAGAGAGGGUGAGAAUCCCGUCUUGGGCGGGCGGCCCGCGCCCGUGUGAAGCUCCUUCGACGAGUCGAGUUGUUUGGGAAUGCAGCUCUAAGCGGGUGGUAAAUUUCAUCUAAAGCUAAAUAUUGGCCGGAGACCGAUAGCGCACAAGUAGAGUGAUCGAAAGGUUAAAAGCACCUUGAAAAGGGAGUUAAACAGCACGUGAAAUUGUUGAAAGGGAAGCGCUUGCGGCCAGACUCGGGGGCGGGGUUCAGCGGGCGCUCGUCGCCCGUGCACUCCCCGCGCCCCGGGCCAGCAUCAGUUUCGACGGUCGGUCAAAGGCCCCCGGAAUGUGUCGUCUCUAGGGACGUCUUAUAGCCGGGGGUGCAAUGCGGCCCGUCGGGACUGAGGAACGCGCUUCGGCUCGGAUGCUGGCGUAAUGGCCGUAAGCGGCCCGUCUUGAAACACGGACCAAGGAGUCUAACAUCCACGCGAGUGUUCGGGUGUCAAACCCGUGCGCGCAGUGAAAGCGAACGGAGGUGGGAGCCUUUGGGCGCACCAUCGACCGAUCCUGAAGUCUUCGGAUGGAUUUGAGUAGGAGCGUGGCCGUUGGGACCCGAAAGAUGGUGAACUAUGCCUGAAUAGGGUGAAGCCAGAGGAAACUCUGGUGGAGGCUCGCAGCGGUUCUGACGUGCAAAUCGAUCGUCAAAUUUGGGCAUAGGGGCGAAAGACUAAUCGAACCAUCUAGUAGCUGGUUCCUGCCGA
rnacentral:rRNA from 1 species